UCGCCCGGGUGGCCCAGGGCGUCGGUGCCGCGGCGGUCGUCGCCGCGAGCCUCGGUCUCGUCGCGCACUGGUUCGAGUCCGGUCCGGCCCGA
rnacentral:tRNA from 1 species